UUUGAUGGAAACUUCAUUCCUACCUUUUAGAAGCCAGUUCCUUAGCCUCACCUUAAAUUGCUCUAUCUUUUUGCUAUGACGCUGAAGACUAUUGACUUUGGAGAAAGAGAAAGAGAUUAUCACUCAUGGCCUUAGAAUGUGAGGAAGGUGUGUGCUUUACAACCCAUGCUGUGCUUUUGCCUGGAAAAAGAAGAUAGGACUUUCUGAAGGCAGAGAUAAGUCCUCCAGGCUCCAGCAGACAGUUCCGUACCCAUGAUCUCUGAGAGACUCUAGGUAAAUUCCCUGGCCACUAAACAAAGACCUGAACCCCAGAAGUGACCCUGUAGGGAGGAGGGACCCCUGACAGGUAUGGAAGGAGAACACAGAGUGGGGGAUCAGAACAGUCAGAAUGUGUGUGAUUGUGGGACUCACUGCAGAGUCCCCACAAACUCCGAUUACAGAAAGCAAGGUGCCUGCAUAAUGCACUGGAGAGAUGUGUGGGAAUAGGAAAUAAGGAUGCUGCUUCACACGGCUACACAGCCUGUGUGUGUGUGUAUGGCUGUUGUGGGAAACUGCAUUUGAGCUGAGUGUUCUUUCAUUUUAAUCAUUGUUUUCCUUUAAAAUGGAGACCCAAUGUCACUGGGAAACAUUCUCACCCUGUAACUGGCUGCGCUGCUUUGCCUAAGUUGAGAAGAAGCACGAGAUUAACAGCGUUUUACUAUAUUACAGAGGCUCCUAAACUCAUGUGAGUACAAGGGCAGACUCUCAAAGGCAAGGGCAGGCCCAGCACCUGACCAUCAGGCAGAAGCUUCAACCGUGACAUCAUAGCCUGGCAAAGACCCGGAGUGGAAGGACCAGAAGACUCCUGGGAUGUGUGCAGUAUGGAAGCAUGUUUCUUCAUCACCUGAUCCUGGGUGAAAUAAAGUUCAGACUCGACGAGUUCACAGUGUCUCCUUCAGCCAUUCCUAUCUUGUAGUGAAUUGAAGCUGUCUCCAAAGCUUGAGUUUGGCCACAGAGGCUGUAGUAGCUCUCUGGAACAUUCUCUCUAAGGUAGACAGGAAUCUUUGGAUGCAACGUCCUUACCUCAUAGAUCACACAGGUGCCACAGGAGAUUCUCACUUCUGCAGGAUCUAAGAGCUCACUCUCUGUUCCCCUCUCCUGUUCACUGAGCCAAGGCGAGGAUAGUUAGACUUGCUUAUCAGUGUUCCUAAAUCUGUGUAAUUACCCAACUGGAAAAUAAUCUAUGUCAACACGG
rnacentral:lncRNA from 1 species